CCCAGUUGAACAAAACCUGACCAGUCAUGACCUGGGGCACUGACAAUCAGAAUCCUGACCUGUCCGGGUAUGACCUGGUUCGCCGUGGGUAUACCCAGAACCUGUUUACUAACCUGUUUUGACACCACUACCCUAAGGCCUAAACACUACUACUUUGUCGGUUUACUGAAGAAACCAAACACCCCCUCCUCUCUCCUCGAUUUUUACUAUCACCACAACAAAACCCCAAAGCUCUCAAAUUCUCUCUCCUCCCCGUGAAACACCCCCUUCUCCUUCGCCCUCUCUCAUCAGAGUUGUCGCCUUGUCGGCGUCCCUAAGCUCACCAAAGUUCGACGGACACUACAUCCAACUCUCUACCCUUUUUUGCUCUCCUCGCGGUUCAAUCCCCCUCCCAUGUCCGCCUCUGCUCGACGUUGGUCUGGCCUCACACUGUCACACACGUCGCAUGUUCCUCUCUCUUUGUUCAUUCAUGCUGUCGAAGGUCCUGUUACCUCUUUGGCUGGACGGAACGCUUGAACGCCGCGGUGGUGCCGCGAUCGAGCAACUCUUCUUGUUUGAGCUGUCUGGUUUGAUAAGAACAUGCAGGGAGCUGCUUGGGAGAAACAUGAGGCUGAAAGUUGAAUAUGGGAGCAGAAACACCAAUGCAGUGGCGCAUGCAAUGGCAAAAUCAUGUAGGAACAAUUCUACUAUCAAUGUAAAUGAACCUUCUGCUUGUAUUGUGAGUCCUUCAGGACUUAUUGAAGAGCUGUACCUAAAAGAGCUUGUAAACACUAAUUAAUUUAUGCUUUUUUCUGUUUGCAUCAAAAAAAAAAAAAAAAAAACUGGGUGUACUACAAUAGCCAUAUAUACUCACAUUUUACAUCAA